CAGUCCUGUGGAAAGAAAAGAGAGCAGAAAUCAUUUCAGAAUCUCUCGUUAGAAUCAAUUUCAUGCUUUUCCCUGACUAAACAGAAAAGCUGCAAUUGGCAUGAUGGAAUUCUGCAGCAGGAUAAAUCACACACUUUCCAGACACAGCACCAGCCCGUCAGAUCCGAUGAUGACAAGGAAUAGGUACUUUUAUUGUGGAAGAAACGGCAUCGUCUCCAGAACAAGAGAGCUGCUGCUUCCACAGCACAUUUUUCUUCAUUGUGUGCAAGCACCCCCAACAGUGAUGGAGAACCCGCUCUCCUUGCACAUCCACCUCUGCCAGUUUCUCGGGAACAUGACUGGCAGAGCCAGGAUUGCUAAGUCCAGCCUUCAGGAAUGGUGAAGGACAAAGCGAGGAAGAGGGGCAGCCCCAUUCAUCUCCCGCCUGGCUCCGAGGAGAUGGGGUCCAGCUCCUGCUCUCGCCCAUCCAGAGCCAUGCACGUGAGGAAAGUGAGUUUGUUACAUCUGUUGUACAACAGCAAUGACUUGCAGCAUGGAGGGCAGGAAGCAGAAACACAAACACACCAGGAGCUGGGAGACCUGCGGCUCCCCAGCACCUGGGCACAGGGCAGCCUGCUCGGGAGCGCGGCUUGCGCAGUGCCUGCAGGAUCCAGGCUGGCACGGACAUGCCGCUUUACUAAUCAGGUCACAGGUCCACACGCAUUCCCCAGGAGCGCUACGCUCUCCUUCUAUGCUAAAGCAAUCUGUCCUUGUCCACAUCUACAGUUGUCAUAAAUCUGUCCUGCUGCUAAAAGCUCCCACUGCAGCAGUCAUGCCAGCUCACACAGUGCUGUCCUGAGGAAUUGCACGCAAGACUUCUUGGCUUUUCCUUUUAGCCUAUGUUUCACAAUGGCUUUAUUUGCAAUGGUGAUAAAGACAUUUUCACAGCAAAAUCUAGAUAACACUGUCUUUUUUUUUCAAACACUCAAAGGAAAAGAACCACCUCUGCCUCCCCAACAGGAUUUUUUUUGCCUUUUGUGAUUACAAAACAAACUGGUUUUCUAUUAGAAUCCCCUGCCUGUGCAAAUACUUCCACUUCUGCAUCCAAAUAAAAUGUUUUCAAUGGACUCUUGACUGGGCUCACAAUUACUUAACGCACAUUUGGUCAUGCUUAUCAUAUCAAAGUUUGGAGUACAGAGAUUCAUCUUACAGGACAAA